AUGCUUGUUUCAGCAGCACAUAUCCUAAAAUUGGAUAAAUACAGAGAAGAUUAGCAUAGGCUCUGUACAAGGAUGAUAUGCAAACUUGUGAAGUGUUCCAUAUUUUU
rnacentral:snRNA from 1 species